rnacentral:rRNA from 1 species
GCAGGUGGCAGUGCCUGGAUGCUGACCUCAUUUGAAUUCAGAAGCUAAGUAACAUAAUGUCUGGUUAGAACUUGGAUGGGAAAUCUCCAGGGAAUCCCAAAGCUGCAGGCU